GCUAUGUUGGCCGGGCGACGGUUGUCCCGGUUUAAGCGUGUAGGUGUGUGUUCCAGGUAAAUCCGGUUCACUUUAACACUGAGGCGUGACGACGAGGCACUACGGUGCUGAAGCAACAAAUGCCCUGCUUCCAGGAAAAGCCUCUAAGCAUCAGGUAACACGAAAUCGUACCCCAAACCGACACAGGUGGUCAGGUAGAGAAUACCAAGGCGCUUGAGAGAACUCGGGUGAAGGAACUAGGCAAAAUGGUGCCGUAACUUCGGGAGAAGGCACGCUGACACGUAGGUGAAGUGAUUUACUCAUGGAGCUGAAGUCAGUCGAAGAUACCAGCUGGCUGCAACUGUUUAUUAAAAACACAGCACUGUGCAAACACGAAAGUGGACGUAUACGGUGUGACGCCUGCCCGGUGCCGGAAGGUUAAUUGAUGGGGUCAGCGUAAGCGAAGCUCCUGAUCGAAGCCCCGGUAAACGGCGGCCGUAACUAUAACGGUCCUAAGGUAGCGAAAUUCCUUGUCGGGUAAGUUCCGACCUGCACGAAUGGCGUAAUGAUGGCCAGGCUGUCUCCACCCGAGACUCAGUGAAAUUGAACUCGCUGUGAAGAUGCAGUGUACCCGCGGCAAGACGGAAAGACCCCGUGAACCUUUACUAUAGCUUGACACUGAACAUUGAGCCUUGAUGUGUAGGAUAGGUGGGAGGCUUUGAAGUGUGGACGCCAGUCUGCAUGGAGCCGACCUUGAAAUACCACCCUUUAAUGUUUGAUGUUCUAACGUGGACCCGUAAUCCGGGUUGCGGACAGUGUCUGGUGGGUAGUUUGACUGGGGCGGUCUCCUCCUAAAGAGUAACGGAGGAGCACGAAGGUUGGCUAAUCCUGGUCGGACAUCAGGAGGUUAGUGCAAUGGCAUAAGCCAGCUUGACUGCGAGCGUGACGGCGCGAGCAGGUGCGAAAGCAGGUCAUAGUGAUCCGGUGGUUCUGAAUGGAAGGGCCAUCGCUCAACGGAUAAAAGGUACUCCGGGGAUAACAGGCUGAUACCGCCCAAGAGUUCAUAUCGACGGCGGUGUUUGGCACCUCGAUGUCGGCUCAUCACAUCCUGGGGCUGAAGUAGGUCCCAAGGGUAUGGCUGUUCGCCAUUUAAAGUGGUACGCGAGCUGGGUUUAGAACGUCGUGAGACAGUUCGGUCCCUAUCUGCCGUGGGCGCUGGAGAACUGAGGGGGGCUGCUCCUAGUACGAGAGGACCGGAGUGGACGCAUCACUGGUGUUCGGGUUGUCAUGCCAAUGGCACUGCCCGGUAGCUAAAUGCGGAAGAGAUAAGUGCUGAAAGCAUCUAAGCACGAAACUUGCCCCGA
rnacentral:rRNA from 1 species